CGAUGGCCAGCAACAACUCGCU
rnacentral:miRNA from 1 species